rnacentral:rRNA from 1 species
GACGGGGGGGGCAAGUGUUCUUCGGAAUUACUGGGCGUAAAGGGCGCGUAGGCGGCCUGCUAAGUCGAACGUGAAAUCCCCGAGCUCAACUCGGGAACUGCGUCCGAUACUGACAGGCUUGAAUCCGGGAGAGGGAUGCGGAAUUCCAGGUGUAGCGGUGAAAUGCGUAGAUAUCUGGAGGAACACCGGUGGCGAAGGCGGCAUCCUGGACCGGCAUUGACGCUGAGGCGCGAAAGCUAGGGGAGCAAACAGG